ensembl:lncRNA
UAGCAAUAUAUUGUCUUAAAUUUAGCAUAUAAAUAAUAAUCAUAUACAUCAUAUUAGUAUACAUCAAUAUACUUAUUUAAUAUGGACAAUUUAUAAAUUGGGGGCCAACACGACAACAUCAUCUGCAAAGAGCAGAGACGAAAUUGUGUGGUCCCCAAACCUGACACCCUCCGGCCCCUGGCUGCGCCUAGAAAUUCUGUCCAUAAAAAUUACGAACAGAACCGGUGACAAAGGGCAGCCCUGCCGGAGUCCAACAUGCACUGGGAACAAGUCUGACUUACUGCCGGCAAUGCGGACCAAGCUCCUGCUUCGGUUGUACAGGGACCUGACAGCCCUUAGCAAAGGACCCAGGACACCAUAUUCCCCAAGCACCCUCCACAAGAUGCCGCAAGGGACACAGUCGAAUGCCUUCUCCAAAUCCACAAAACACAUGUGGAUUGGUUGGGCAAACUCCCAUGAACAACGAAUUCUACCAAAUCUAAUAUUUUGUAUGGCCUCCAUGAUUUUUAAAGACAGCACCAACUUUUCUGAACAUGGAGUGAAGUUGGUGACAUACUGCCACGUCUAUCUUUGUCCAUUCUUGGAGAAUGAGCUCUUUCAGAGACUGGAUGCUGGACGGAAAAUUAUGCUGGACCUGUCUGUUCAGAACUCCCCAUAGGUGUUCUAUUGGGUUGAGGUCAGGUGACAUACUUGGCCACUGAAUGACUUUCACCCUGUUCUUCCUCAGAAAUGCAGCAGUGGUCUUGUAUGUUACUUUUGGGUCAUUAUCAUGUUGACAGAGAGCCCAGUGACCCAGGGUGUGGAGAGAUAGUAGCAUCUUCUCUUGCAGUAUUUCUCAGUACAUCUGUGAAUUCAUGAUACCCUCAAUGAAGUGCAAUUCCCCGACACCUGCAGCACUCAUACAACCCCACAGAAGAACACUAGUACCGCCAUGCUUUUGCUGUGGGUACCAUGCUUUACUGUGGGUACCAUGCUUUACUGUAGGUACCAUGCUUUACUGUGGGUACCAUGCUUUACUGUGGGUACCAUGCUUUACUGUAGGUACCAUGCUUUACUGUGGGUACCAUGCUUUACUGUGGAUUUCAUGCUUUACUGUGGGUACCAUGCUUUACUGUAGGUACCAUGCUUUACUGUGGGUAGUGUGGGUACCAUGCUUUACUGUGGGUAUUAUGGUUUACUGUGUGUACCAUGGUUUACUGUGGGUACCAUGCUUUACUGUGGGUGCCAUGCUUUACUGUGGGUACCAUGCUUUACUGUGGAUACCAUGUUUUACUGUGGGUACCAUGCUUUACUGUGGGUAACAUGCUUUACUGUGGGUAUCAUGCUUUACUGUGUGUACCAUGCUUUACCGUAAGUACCAUGCUUUACUGUGGGUACCAUGUUUUACUGUGUGUACCAUGCUUUAUUGUGGGUACCAUGCUUUUCUUUGGGUUUCAUGUUUUACUGUGGGUACCAUGCUUUACUGUGGGUACCGUGCUUUAUUGUGGGUACUGUGGGUACCAUGCUUUACUGUGGGUACCAUGCUUUACUGUGGAUUUCAUGCUUUACUGUGGGUACCAUGCUUUACUGUAGGUACCAUGCUUUACUGUGGGUAGUGUGGGUACCAUGCUUUACUGUGGGUAUUAUGGUUUACUGUGUGUACCAUGGUUUACUGUGGGUACCAUGCUUUACUAUGGGUACCAUGCUUUACAAAUGUCAUUGCACUCUUCCCCCUUGAAACACCAUACAGUUUGGAUGCCAUCAUUUCCUAAACAAUUGACCUUUGUUUCAUCUGACCAAAUGAUGGAGUCCCAAUAUUCUUCACUUUUAUGAACAAAUGCUAAACAGUCUUUUUUGUACAUGGGUUUUAUCAGUGGCUUCCUUCGUGGACGACAUCCUUGCAUGCCACUCCUGUGCAGCAUACGUCGUAUCGUGUCACGUGAAACAGUCACCCCAGUUUGUCUUUCUACAGCUUUCACUCACUGUGAUGAACGUGCAUGGUGAUUUUCCUCAACUCUUCUUAGGACAAAACACUCAUCUGGAGGUGUUAUCUUCUGUGGUCGGCCUGGAUGUCUCAGAAUGCUUGUCACAUGUCCAUCCUUUUUCAAUAUUUUAAUAACUUUUGCUAAUGUAUUCUGACUGAUUAGCAUUGUUUUACUAAUUGUCUUGUAGCCCUGACCAUUUUUAUGUAAUAAGAUCGCUUUUCCUGGUUUCCCAUUUGUUCACGAACUCACCCGGACCCCUUCAUUGUCUUGUCUCCAAUCUUCACUCACACCAGGUGCCAAUUAAGUCAUCAGUAUGUGUUUAAAUGUUUCUCCUCUGCUCCCCCCAUUUGUUGGUUAUUGUUCCCUCUCUUCAUAUGUUCACGGCAGUGGUGAGUGUCGGUUUGCUGCAAAGCCAGCCCUUUGUUUUCUUCCCGUUUGUUUAAGUGUGUUAUUUUCUAUUAAAUGAUCAUCAUGGACUGCCACUCUGUCUGCCCCUGGUUCCUCCUCUCCAACACAACACCAUCGUGACAUGACAUUUCUCUUCCAUGUGGGGCCAUAAUUGUCAGCAUUGACUGGGAGGAGAUUGUACAGUAACUGGAUCCUCUACUUCAGUCCUAGUAGGAGUGGUUGUGGGUCCGGUUGUUGCUGCUGUUCUACUGACCGUCUUCCUGGUCCUGCUUUGUCGAUAUCAAAAGAGCAAAGG